rnacentral:misc_RNA from 1 species
AAAAGUCGUAACAAGGUCUCCGUUGGUGAACCAGCGGAGGGAUCAUUACAGAGGGUCAACCUCCUAAAACCAUGCGAAUCUACCUGUCCUGUUGCUUCGGCGGGCAGCCCCUGGGAGGGGCCGUAGCCUGAAGGCGCCCGCCGGAGGUCGCCAUAAAUCUUGUAUCAGCCUAUAUUCUGAGGACAAACAAAAACAAAUCAAAACUUUCAACAACGGAUCUCUUGGUUUGGG